rnacentral:rRNA from 1 species
UACGAAGGGGGCUAGCGUUGCUCGGAAUUACUGGGCGUAAAGCGCACGUAGGCGGCUUUCUGAGUCGGGGGUAAAAUCCUGGAGCUCAACUCCAGAACUGCCUUCGAUACUGGAGAGCUUGAGUCCGGGAGAGGUGAGUGGAACUGCGAGUGUAGAGGUGAAAUUCGUAGAUAUUCGCAAGAACACCAGUGGCGAAGGCGGCUCACUGGCCCGGUACUGACGCUGAGGUGCGAAAGCGUGGGGAGCAAACAGG